AUGAAGAUUAUGCUCAGGUACCA
rnacentral:siRNA from 1 species